CCUACGGGCGGCUGCAGUGGGGAAUAUUGGACAAUGGGCGAAAGCCUGAUCCAGCCAUGCCGCGUGUGUGAAGAAGGCCUUCGGGUUGUAAAGCACUUUCAGUGGGGAAGAAAGCCUUGGGGCUAAUACCCUCGAGGAAGGACAUCACCCACAGAAGAAGCACCGGCUAACUCCGUGCCAGCAGCCGCGGUAAUACGGAGGGUGCGAGCGUUAAUCGGAAUUACUGGGCGUAAAGCGCGCGUAGGCGGUCUGAUAAGCCGGUUGUGAAAGCCCCGGGCUCAACCUGGGAACGGCAUCCGGAACUGUCAGGCUAGAGUGCAGGAGAGGAAAGUAGAAUUCCCGGUGUAGCGGUGAAAUGCGUAGAGAUCGGGAGGAAUACCAGUGGCGAAGGCGGCCUUCUGGACUGACACUGACGCUGAGGUGCGAAAGCGUGGGUAGCAAACAGGAUUAGAUACCCGUGUAGUC
rnacentral:rRNA from 1 species